rnacentral:rRNA from 1 species
GGUUAAGUUAGAAAGGGCGCACGGUGGAUGCCUUGGCACUAGGAGCCGAUGAAGGACGGGACGAACACCGAUAUGCUUCGGGGAGCUGUAAGCAAGCUUUGAUCCGGAGAUUUCCGAAUGGGGAAACCCACCACUCGUAAUGGAGUGGUAUCCAUAUCUGAAUACAUAGGAUAUGAGAAGGCAGACCCGGGGAACUGAAACAUCUAAGUACCCGGAGGAAGAGAAAGCAAAUGCGAUUCCCUGAGUAGCGGCGAGCGAAACGGGACCAGCCCAAACCAAGAGGCUUGCCUCUUGGGGUUGUAGGACACUCUGUACGGAGUUACAAAGGAACGAGGUAGAUGAAGAGGUCUGGAAAGGCCCGCCAUAGAAGGUAACAGCCCUGUAGUCAAAACUUCGUUCUCUCCUGAGUGGAUCCUGAGUACGGCGGAACACGUGAAAUUCCGUCGGAAUCCGGGAGGACCAUCUCCCAAGGCUAAAUACUCCCUAGUGACCGAUAGUGAACCAGUACCGUGAGGGAAAGGUGAAAAGCACCCCGGAAGGGGAGUGAAAGAGAUCCUGAAACCGUGUGCCUACAAGUAGUCAGAGCCCGUUAACGGGUGAUGGCGUGCCUUUUGUAGAAUGAACCGGCGAGUUACGAUCCCGUGCAAGGUUAAGCAGAAGAUGCGGAGCCGCAGCGAAAGCGAGUCUGAAUAGGGCGAAUUGAGUACGUGGUCGUAGACCCGAAACCAGGUGAUCUACCCAUGUCCAGGGUGAAGUUCAGGUAACACUGAAUGGAGGCCCGAACCCACGCACGUUGAAAAGUGCGGGGAUGAGGUGUGGGUAGGGGUGAAAUGCCAAUCGAACCUGGAGAUAGCUGGUUCUCUCCGAAAUAGCUUUAGGGCUAGCCUCAAGGUAAGAGUCUCGGAGGUAGAGCACUGAUUGGACUAGGGGCCCCUACCGGGUUACCGAAUUCAGUCAAACUCCGAAUGCCGAUGACUUAUCCUUGGGAGUCAGACUGCGAGUGAUAAGAUCCGUAGUCGAAAGGGAAACAGCCCAGACCGCCAGCUAAGGUCCCAAAGUAUACGUUAAGUGGAAAAGGAUGUGGAGUUGCUUAGACAACCAGGAUGUUGGCUUAGAAGCAGCCACCAUUUAAAGAGUGCGUAAUAGCUCACUGGUCGAGUGACUCUGCGCCGAAAAUGUACCGGGCUAAACGUAUCACCGAAGCUGCGGACUGUUCUUCGAACAGUGGUAGGAGAGCGUUCUAAGGGCUGUGAAGCAAGACCGGAAGGACUUGUGGAGCGCUUAGAAGUGAGAAUGCCGGUAUGAGUAGCGAAAGAGGGGUGAGAAUCCCCUCCACCGAAUGCCUAAGGUUUCCUGAGGAAGGCUCGUCCGCUCAGGGUUAGUCGGGACCUAAGCCGAGGCCGAAAGGCGUAGGCGAUGGAUAACAGGUUGAUAUUCCUGUACCACCUCCUCACCAUUUGAGCAAUGGGGGACGCAGGAGGAUAGGGUAAGCGCGGUAUUGGAUAUCCGCGUCCAAGCAGUUAGGCUGGGAAAUAGGCAAAUCCGUUUCCCGUGAAGGCUGAGCUGUGAUGGCGAGCGAAUUAUAGUAGCGAAGUUCCUGAUUCCACACUGCCAAGAAAAGCUCUAGCGAGGUGAGAGGUGCCCGUACCGCAAACCGACACAGGUAGGCGAGGAGAGAAUCCUAAGGUGAUCGAGAGAACUCUCGUUAAGGAACUCGCAAAAUGACCCCGUAACUUCGGGAGAAGGGGUGCUCUGUUAGGGUGCAAGCCCGAGAGAGCCGCAGUGAAUAGGCCCAGGCGACUGUUUAGCAAAAACACAGGUCUCUGCGAAGCCGUAAGGCGAAGUAUAGGGGCUGACGCCUGCCCGGUGCUGGAAGGUUAAGAGGAGCGCUUAGCGUAAGCGAAGGUGCGAAUUGAAGCCCCAGUAAACGGCGGCCGUAACUAUAACGGUCCUAAGGUAGCGAAAUUCCUUGUCGGGUAAGUUCCGACCCGCACGAAAGGCGCAACGAUCUGGGCACUGUCUCAACGAGAGACUCGGUGAAAUUAUAGUACCUGUGAAGAUGCAGGUUACCCGCGACAGGACGGAAAGACCCCGUGGAGCUUUACUGCAGCCUGAUAUUGAAUGUUGGUACAGCUUGUACAGGAUAGGUAGGAGCCUUGGAAACCGGAGCGCCAGCUUCGGUGGAGGCAUCGGUGGGAUACUACCCUGGCUGUAUUGACCUUCUAACCCGCCGCCCUUAUCGGGCGGGGAGACAGUGUCAGGUGGGCAGUUUGACUGGGGCGGUCGCCUCCUAAAAGGUAACGGAGGCGCCCAAAGGUUCCCUCAGAAUGGUUGGAAAUCAUUCGCAGAGUGUAAAGGCACAAGGGAGCUUGACUGCGAGACCUACAAGUCGAGCAGGGACGAAAGUCGGGCUUAGUGAUCCGGUGGUUCCGCAUGGAAGGGCCAUCGCUCAACGGAUAAAAGCUACCCCGGGGAUAACAGGCUUAUCUCCCCCAAGAGUCCACAUCGACGGGGAGGUUUGGCACCUCGAUGUCGGCUCAUCGCAUCCUGGGGCUGUAGUCGGUCCCAAGGGUUGGGCUGUUCGCCCAUUAAAGCGGUACGCGAGCUGGGUUCAGAACGUCGUGAGACAGUUCGGUCCCUAUCCGUCGCGGGCGCAGGAAAUUUGAGAGGAGCUGUCCUUAGUACGAGAGGACCGGGAUGGACGCACCGCUGGUGUACCAGUUGUUCUGCCAAGGGCAUCGCUGGGUAGCUAUGUGCGGACGGGAUAAGUGCUGAAAGCAUCUAAGCAUGAAGCCCCCCUCAAGAUGAGAUUUCCCAUUCCGCAAGGAAGUAAGAUCCCUGAAAGAUGAUCAGGUUGAUAGGUCUGAGGUGGAAGUGUGGCGACACAUGGAGCUGACAGAUACUAAUCGAUCGAGGACUUAACCAA